rnacentral:rRNA from 1 species
CCUACGGGGGGCUGCAGUGGGGAAUAUUGGACAAUGGGCGAAAGCCUGAUCCAGCCAUGCCGCGUGUGUGAAGAAGGCCUUCGGGUUGUAAAGCACUUUCAGUGGGGAAGAAAGCCUUGGGGCUAAUACCCUCGAGGAAGGACAUCACCCACAGAAGAAGCACCGGCUAACUCCGUGCCAGCAGCCGCGGUAAUACGGAGGGUGCGAGCGUUAAUCGGAAUUACUGGGCGUAAAGCGCGCGUAGGCGGUCUGAUAAGCCGGUUGUGAAAGCCCCGGGCUCAACCUGGGAACGGCAUCCGGACCUGUCAGGCUAGAGGGCAGGAGAGGAAGGUAGAAUUCCCGGUGUAGCGGUGAAAUGCGUAGAGAUCGGGAGGAAUACCAGUGGCGAAGGCGGCCUUCUGGACUGACACUGACGCUGAGGUGCGAAAGCGUGGGUAGCAAACAGGAUUAGAUACCCUAGUAGUC